rnacentral:rRNA from 1 species
AUUGAACGCUGGCGGCAGGCCUAACACAUGCAAGUCGAACGGUAGCACAGAGAGCUUGCUCUCGGGUGACGAGUGGCGGACGGGUGAGUAAUGUCUGGGAAACUGCCCGAUGGAGGGGGAUAACUACUGGAAACGGUAGCUAAUACCGCAUAACGUCGCAAGACCAAAGUGGGGGACCUUCGGGCCUCACACCAUCGGAUGUGCCCAGAUGGGAUUAGCUAGUAGGUGGGGUAAUGGCUCACCUAGGCGACGAUCCCUAGCUGGUCUGAGAGGAUGAGCAGCCACACUGGAACUGAGACACGGUCCAGACUCCUACGGGAGGCAGCAGUGGGGAAUAUUGCACAAUGGGCGAAAGCCUGAUGCAGCCAUGCCGCGUGUAUGAAGAAGGCCUUCGGGUUGUAAAGUACUUUCAGCGGGGAGGAAGGCGGUGAAGUUAAUAGCUUCACCGAUUGACGUUACCCGCAGAAGAAGCACCGGCUAACUCCGUGCCAGCCGCCGCAGUAA